UGUGGACAGUCCGGAUCCGUUCUCCCUUUAAAUGUGAUCGUACAAUCCAGAUCAAAUCGCGAUGAAUGGUCCAAAUUUACUUCUUAUUUAAACGCGAUUGAACAACCCAGAUCAAAUCGCGAUAAACGUUCCAGACUCACUUUCUAUUUAAACACGAUCGGACGAUUCAGAUCAAACGCGAUGGACGAUUCAGAUCAAAC
rnacentral:lncRNA from 1 species